UACGGGGGGGGCAAGCGUUGUUCGGAAUUACUGGGCGUAAAGGGCUCGUAGGCGGCCAACUAAGUCGGAUGUGAAAUCCCCAGGCUUAACCUGGGAACUGCAUCCGAUACUGGAUGGCUUGAAUCCGGGAGAGGGAUGCAGAACUCCAGGUGUAGCGGUGAAAUGCGUAGAUAUCUGGAGGAAUACCGGUGGCGAAGGCGGCAUCCUGGACCGGCAUUGACGCUGAGUGAGCGAAAGCCAGGGGAGCAAACGGG
rnacentral:rRNA from 1 species